UUCUUUUAGUUUAACUUAAAAGUAAAUCCUGCCCACUGUGUAAUGAAGGGCUGCGGUAUUCUGACCGUACUAAGGUAGCAUAAUCAUUAGCCUUUUAAUUGAAGGAUUGUAUGAAUGGUUUAACAAACAUUUUUUUUGUUUUAUAGAUUUUUUUAACUUAAAUUUUAAGUGAAAAUGCUUAAAUUUUUUAAAAAGACGACAAGACCCUAUAGAGUUUUAUAACAAUAUUUAAUUUAUUUUUUAGUAGAUUUUUAUUUUAUUUUAGUUAUUUUGUUGGGGCAACAAGGGAAUUAAUAAAACUUCUCUGUUUUAGUUUAAAAUAUUUUUAAAUCUUAAUUUUUAAAAAUUAAAAAAUUACCUUAGGGAUAACAGCGUUAUAUUUUUUGAGAGUUCUUAUCGACAAAAUUGAUUGCGACCUCGAUGUUGAAUUAAGGAAUCUAUUUGGAGCAGUUUUUAAAUUAGAUAGUCUGUUCGACUAUAAAAUUCUU
rnacentral:rRNA from 1 species